AUUUUUUAGGGAAAUUGAUGAAACAGACAUCAAAACCUUGGAACGACAGUUGAUGCAAUCCAUGGAGACAUGUACUGCUAAGAAGAAGAAAAUUAUUUUGUCCCAAAUGGAGAUGGAGAGGAUUCAAGGAUCAGAUGAGAAGUUAAAGGCCAGAUCGUUUCUGAAGCGUAUAGUGGGAACAGUUGUUAGAUCUGUGCAGGAAGAUCAAACUGAGCAGGAUAUAAAAAACUUAGAAGUAGGAGUCCAUGCACUGGAAGAGCUUUCCAAACAGCUGUUUCUUGAGAUAUAUGAACUUCGUC